UACGGGGGGAGCAAGCGUUGUUCGGAUUUACUGGGCGUAAAGGGCGCGUAGGCGGCGUGACAAGUCACUUGUGAAAUCUCCGGGCUUAACUCGGAACGGUCAAGUGAUACUGUCGUGCUAGAGUACAGAAGGGGCAACUGGAAUUCUCGGUGUAGCGGUGAAAUGCGCAGAUAUCAGGAGGAACACCGGUGGCGAAGGCGGGUCCCUGGGCCGUAACUGACGCUGAGGAGCGAAAGCGUGGGGAGCGAACAGG
rnacentral:rRNA from 1 species